ACCAAAGGUAAACAUAUGCCUAACCUAGGACUUACAGUAUGAGGUUAGAGAACACUUACUCACUGUUCCCGCUGAACAGUUCACCUCCAGUCUUUUGCUCCAUCAUUGCCCCUGUCCAGAUGCUUUCAUCACACUUUUUCCCAAUCCCAGAGACCAGCUGAGAUCACUCUCCCUGCUCCCUACAAAGAGAUCGAUCUCCCCUCUUAAGGAAAAUUCUGCCACUUACCUAUUACCACUGACAAAUGACUGAUGGAUUCUUCACAUAUAAAUUGUCUCAUGUGAUUUUACAACGUUCUAAUUUGCUCCUCACAAUACCAUUGUGAGGAAGGCAAGAUAUGGAGUGUUAACCCCACUUCACAGAUGAGAAAAUGGAACUUCAAAGAGAGAGAAGAUGACAUCUCCAGUUUACAUGGCCUUAUUAUUCCAGACCCCACAGGCAAUGCUAAAUUGUUGGAAGAAAUCGGGAGCACAACACAGCAUCCCAAGGCUCCUUGCUGCAAAGUGUUCAAAGGCGGCUGGCAGUGGCAAUGGGCUUCACGAACUACAAUAUAAACACAAUUAUCAAAUCACAGACUGAUCAAAUGCCAGAAACCACACCUCAGAUAAUUCCACCUGCAUACAAAAUAGAGCUAUUUUAUUUCAAAAUAGAGCAUAAUAAAACUUAAAAUAAUUCAA
rnacentral:lncRNA from 1 species